UACAGAGGGGGCAAGCGUUGUCCGGAUUUACUGGGCGUAAAGCGCGCGCAGGCGGUCUUCCAAGUCAGUGGUGAAAGCCCGGAGCUCAACUCCGGAACUGCCAUUGAAACUGUAAGACUUGAGGAUGAGAGAGGUGAGUGGAAUUCCCAGUGUAGAGGUGAAAUUCGUAGAUAUUGGGAAGAACACCGGUGGCGAAGGCGGCUCACUGGCUCAUAUCUGACGCUCAGGCGCGACAGCGUGGGGAUCAAACAGG
rnacentral:rRNA from 1 species